rnacentral:rRNA from 1 species
CCUACGGGUGGCAGCAGUGGGGAAUAUUGGACAAUGGGCGAAAGCCUGAUCCAGCCAUGCCGCGUGUGUGAAGAAGGCCUUCGGGUUGUAAAGCACUUUCAGUGGGGAAGAAAGCCUUGGGGCUAAUACCCUCGAGGAAGGACAUCACCCACAGAAGAAGCACCGGCUAACUCCGUGCCAGCAGCCGCGGUAAUACGGAGGGUGCGAGCGUUAAUCGGAAUUACUGGGCGUAAAGCGCGCGUAGGCGGUCUGAUAAGCCGGUUGUGAAAGCCCCGGGCUCAACCUGGGAACGGCAUCCGGAACUGUCAGGCUAGAGUGCAGGAGAGGAAGGUAGAAUUCCCGGUGUAGCGGUGAAAUGCGUAGAGAUCGGGAGGAAUACCAGUGGCGAAGGCGGCCUUCUGGACUGACACUGACGCUGAGGUGCGAAAGCGUGGGUAGCAAACAGGAUUAGAUACCCUCUGUAGUC